rnacentral:rRNA from 1 species
GACGAACGCUGGCGGCGUGCUUAACACAUGCAAGUCGAACGGAAAGGCCCUGCUUUUGUGGGGUGCUCGAGUGGCGAACGGGUGAGUAACACGUGAGUAACCUGCCCUUGACUUUGGGAUAACUUCAGGAAACUGGGGCUAAUACCGGAUAGGAGCUCCUGCUGCAUGGUGGGGGUUGGAAAGUUUCGGCGGUUGGGGAUGGACUCGCGGCUUAUCAGCUUGUUGGUGGGGUAGUGGCUUACCAAGGCUUUGACGGGUAGCCGGCCUGAGAGGGUGACCGGCCACAUUGGGACUGAGGUACGGCCCAGACUCCUACGGGAGGCAGCAGUGGGGAAUAUUGCACAAUGGGCGGAAGCCUGAUGCAGCAACGCCGCGUGCGGGAUGACGGCCUUCGGGUUGUAAACCGCUUUCGCCUGUGACGAAGCGUGAGUGACGAUAAUGGGUAAAGAAGCACCGGCUAACUACGUGCCAGCAGCCGCGGUGAUACGUAGGGUGCGAGCGUUGUCCGGAUUUAUUGGGCGUAAAGGGCUCGUAGGUGGUUGAUCGCGUCGGAAGUGUAAUCUUGGGGCUUAACCCUGAGCGUGCUUUCGAUACGGGUUGACUUGAGGAAGGUAGGGGAGAAUGGAAUUCCUGGUGGAGCGGUGGAAUGCGCAGAUAUCAGGAGGAACACCAGUGGCGAAGGCGGUUCUCUGGGCCUUUCCUGACGCUGAGGAGCGAAAGCGUGGGGAGCGAACAGGCUUAGAUACCCUGGUAGUCCACGCUGUAAACGGUGGGUACUAGGUGUGGGGUCCAUUCCACGGGUUCCGUGCCGUAGCUAACGCUUUAAGUACCCCGCCUGGGGAGUACGGCCGCAAGGCUAAAACUCAAAGGAAUUGACGGGGCCCCGCACAAGCGGCGGAGCAUGCGGAUUAAUUCGAUGCAACGCGUAGAACCUUACCUGGGUUUGACAUGGAUCGGGAGCGCUCAGAGAUGGGUGUGCCUCUUUUGGGGUCGGUUCACAGGUGGUGCAUGGCUGUCGUCAGCUCGUGUCGUGAGAUGUUGGGUUAAGUCCCGCAACGAGCGCAACCCUUGUUCACUGUUGCCAGCACGUUAUGGUGGGGACUCAGUGGAGACCGCCGGGGUCAACUCGGAGGAAGGUGGGGAUGACGUCAAGUCAUCAUGCCCCUUAUGUCCAGGGCUUCACGCAUGCUACAAUGGCUGGUACAGAGAGUGGCGAGCCUGUGAGGGUGAGCGAAUCUCGGAAAGCCGGUCUCAGUUCGGAUUGGGGUCUGCAACUCGACCUCAUGAAGUCGGAGUCGCUAGUAAUCGCAGAUCAGCAACGCUGCGGUGAAUACGUUCCCGGGGCU